rnacentral:misc_RNA from 1 species
AGAUAUUAUCAAAUUGUGACAUUGUCAAUAUUUGGAUCAUGUCGAGGAAGCUAUUACUAUUAAUGUGGAUAGCUCCUUGGAAAUUCAUAGGUCUUCAAGUUGCUAUCAUUAGAACGUGAUGAAAAUUUCAUCAUUCACAUGUAGUUCACUUGUAUAGUUCUCAAACUAAUAUACUUUUUUGGUAUUUUUUCA